rnacentral:rRNA from 1 species
GACGAACGCUGGCGGCGUGCUUAACACAUGCAAGUCGAACGGAAAGGCCCUGCUUUUGUGGGGUGCUCGAGUGGCGAACGGGUGAGUAACACGUGAGUAACCUGCCCUUGACUUUGGGAUAACUUCAGGAAACUGGGGCUAAUACCGGAUAGGAGCUCCUGCUGCAUGGUGGGGGUUGGAAAGUUUCGGCGGUUGGGGAUGGACUCGCGGCUUAUCAGCUUGUUGGUGGGGUAGUGGCUUACCAAGGCUUUGACGGGUAGCCGGCCUGAGAGGGUGACCGGCCACAAUGGGACUGAGAUACGGCGCAGACUCCUACGGGAGGCAGCAGUGGGGAAUAUUGCACAAUGGGCGGAAGCCUGAUGCAGCAACGCCGCGUGCGGGAGGACGGCCUUCGGGUUGUAAACCGCUUUCGCCUGUGACGAAGCGUGAGUGACGGUAAUGGGUAAAGAAGCACCGGCUAACUACGUG